ACAUACAUACUAAAACAUGUGCAAAAGGAUUGGUUUCAACACUCAAAGGAAGUGGCACAAAUGGCUCAUGCCAAGCAAGUAUCAAAAUAGGGACUAAAAUGCAAACAUCAACUUCGAAAAUCCAAAUCAAACUGAAAAUGAAUCCUAAAUUCAUGAGAGUUUAACACAAAGUUCCACUGAACAUACAUAAACAUCAUGCAAAAAAUCAGGAGUAUCCAGAUUCAUUUGAUAUGAAAACAAAAAUCGAGAAAUUGAGAAUGCAAAAACAUGUCCUAAAAU
rnacentral:lncRNA from 1 species